rnacentral:rRNA from 1 species
GGAUGAACGCUGGCGGCGUGCCUAAUACAUGCAAGUCGAGCGAACUGAUUAGAAGCUUGCUUCUAUGACGUUAGCGGCGGACGGGUGAGUAACACGUGGGCAACCUGCCUGUAAGACUGGGAUAACUUCGGGAAACCGAAGCUAAUACCGGAUAGGAUCUUCUCCUUCAUGGGAGAUGAUUGAAAGAUGGUUUCGGCUAUCACUUACAGAUGGGCCCGCGGUGCAUUAGCUAGUUGGUGAGGUAACGGCUCACCAAGGCAACGAUGCAUAGCCGACCUGAGAGGGUGAUCGGCCACACUGGGACUGAGACACGGCCCAGACUCCUACGGGAGGCAGCAGUAGGGAAUCUUCCGCAAUGGACGAAAGUCUGACGGAGCAACGCCGCGUGAGUGAUGAAGGCUUUCGGGUCGUAAAACUCUGUUGUUAGGGAAGAACAAGUACGAGAGUAACUGCUUGUACCUGA